rnacentral:tRNA from 1 species
GGGGUUAUAGCUCAGUGGCAGAGUGCAUGCCUAGCAUACAUGAGGCACUGGGUUUGAUCCUCAACACCCCA